UCUAUUGUAUGGUUUCACUAAAAAAACAUAGUUUUAAAUACACGUAAAAUCUAAAAUCUAAUAAAACUCAAUCAACCAGAUAUAUAUUUUAGAACAAUCAUAAGAAAAGAAAAUGAAUUAUUAAAGCGACGAGUCAGCUGGGGGAAAAUUUGACUCUAUGUAUAGUGACGGAGCUCUGCUGUUCACGGAUAUUAAAAAGAAUAUAAUAUAACGUGACGGGAUCGUCGGCGGCAGUGGCACUGUCGAUAAUCAUAUUGUUUUCCAUGGAUAAUCUGACAAAUCACACCUGGUGACGGUUAUCAUCGUAUAGGUACACUGAUAUUGUCACGACGAGCUAUU